CGGUGUUCAACUGGCGUGCCCGCGGGACGUCCUGCCGGUGAGCUCAGCCCGCGAGGGCGGCUCAACUUGAAAUCCCAUCGCGGUGCUCUUCAUUGAGUGUCGAGGUGGGCCGGCACGAUCACUUUUGAACAAAUUAGAGUGCUUAAAGCAGGCUAAAAUUUUGCCUGAAUACUGUGUAUAUGGAAUAAUGGAAUAGGACCUCGGUUCUAUUUUGUUGGUUUUCGGAACCCCGAGGUAAUGAUUAAUAGGAACGGAUGGGGGCAUUCGUAUUGCGACGUUAGAGGUGAAAUUCUUGGAUCGUCGCAAGACGGACUAAAGCGAAAGCAUUUGCCAAAAACGCUUUCAUUGAUCAAGAACGAAAGUUAGAGGUUCGAAGGCGAUCAGAUACCGCCCUAGUUCUAACCAUAAACUAUGCCAGCUAGCGAUCCGCCGACGUCCCUCUGAUGACUCGGCGGGCAGCUUCCGGGAAACCAAAGCUUUUGGGUUCCGGGGGUAGUAUGGUUGCAAAGCUGAAACUUAAAGGAAUUGACGGAAGGGCACCACCAGGAGUGGAGCCUGCGGCUUAAUUUGACUCAACACGGGAAACCUCACCAGGCCCAGACACUGGAAGGAUUGACAGAUUGAGAGCUCUUUCUUGAUUCAGUGGGUGGUGGUGCAUGGCCGUUCUUAGUCGGUGGAGCGAUUUGUCAGGUUAAUUCCGAUAACGGACGAGACUCUGACCUGAUAACUAGACGCACUUGCGGCAUCUCAAAGGUCCGCCGGCGGCUGGCUUUGCGCCCGUCGUCGCGCGCGAUUUUUACUGCCGGCGUACAAUAAAUUCUUCUUAGAGGGACAAGUGG
rnacentral:rRNA from 1 species